CUACGGGGUGCUGCAGUGAGGAAUAUUGCACAAUGGGGGAAACCCUGACGCAGCAACGCCGCGUGGAGGAUGACGCAUUUCGGUGUGUAAACUCCUUUUAUGAGUCAAGAAAAUGACGGUAGCUCAUGAAUAAGCACCGGCUAACUCCGUAGCCAGCAGCCGCGGUAAUACGGAGGGUGCAAGCGUUACUCGGAAUCACUGGGCGUAAAGGACGCGUAGGCGGGAUGUCAAGUCAGGUGUGAAAUCCUAUGGCUCAACCAUAGAACUGCACUUGAAACUGGCAACCUAGAGGAUGGGAGGGGGAGAUGGAAUUAGUGGGGUAGGGGUAAAAUCCGUAGAUAUCACCAGGAAUACCGAAAGCGAAGGGGAACCCCUGGAACAUUACUGACGCUAAGGCGUGAAAGCGUGGGGAGCAAACAGGAUUAGAUACCCCCGUAGUC
rnacentral:rRNA from 1 species